rnacentral:lncRNA from 10 species
AAGACACAUACGUGACUCAAAUAAGAUGGCCUUUGGACAGCAACCCUUUCCUGAGUCUCCAGCCUAUCAGCCUCUCUCAUCAGAUUUUGGACUCGCCAAGCCUCCACAAUGACUAGCCAGGGAGUGGCUACUUCAGAAUCAAAGAGAAGAGGAGAAGUCUAUUUACCAUGCAGAUUCGUGGGCCCCAUCCCAGACUUACUGAAUCAGCAGAACUGAGGAUGUUUCUGAAGAGGGUCCACUUUCAGGAGCUCUCUAGGUAAAAAAAUGUUCCAAAAACUACUUUUUCAGCUGGAUUCUCUGCUGUUUCCUUGGUAGCCCUGAAAAUUCUACUGUAUUGACAGCUCCAAGGGAUCCAAGAUGAGUCACCAUUGUUUCAUAGUCAAUGAACAAGACCUGGCCUUCCUUCUAAUCCAUUGCCAAAAACAGCAUUUCCUGCUGUAUAUUGUUGUGUUUGAGGUAGAAGGAAGUUACCACCUAGAGGCAAACCUCUCAAAAGCAGCAAGUCACCCUGACAGCAGCAGACUUAAGGAAGGGCUCAAAGAUCUCUGUGAGGCGGCCAUCAAUACCCAAAGCAAGAUGGAGAAGACAUUGUUCUCCCAACAGCUGGCCUGGAAUUCCUCUUAGGGACAGUUUUCUUUGGAGGGGUUGACUCUCUGUGGUAUGACUGUCAGCUGCCCCCUAGUUUCCAUGAAGGAGAACUGAAGAGGAGAAUAAAAACUUGCAGCUCUCAGGAGAGCAACCUUAGAGAAAUGGGAGUGAGAAGGAAAGGUGGGAAGGGAAAAACAAAACUCAGAUAAUGUAGCUUGAACAUUUGUCUACUCCAACUCUCAUGUUAAAAUUUAACCUGCAAUAUUGGAGGUGGGGCCUAGUAGGAGGUGUCUGGGUCAUGGCAGCAGAUCCUUCAUGAAUGGCUUGGUGCCACACUGGAAGUAAUGAGUGAGUUACUGCACUAUUAGUUCCCACAAGAGCUGAUUUUUUUUUUUAAAGCUGGGCCCCCUCUCUGCCCAUGUGAUCAGCACACACUGGCUCCCCUUCACCUUCUGCCAUGAGUGGAAGCAGCCUGAAACCCUCAGCAGAUGCAGAUGCCAAUGCCAUGCUUCUUAUGCAGCCUGCAGAAUAGGCCAAAUAAAGUUCCUUUAUUUAUCAAUUAGCCUCAUGUCUUCCUUUAUAGCAACACAAAUCGACUGACAUAGGAUCAAAAUAAAAAUAAUAAUUUCAUUCUUAUAGUAAACCUCUGACACAGGUACUAUUAUUAUUCCUACUUUAUAAUUUAGGAAACUGAGGCACAGAAAGGUUAAGUAGGGAAAUGUGUGUGUGCCAUAACCCUUCUCUAUGAUUUUCUUUUUUUCAGUCUUGUGCUGUCAUCCAGGCUGGAGUGCAAUGGCACAAUGUUGGCUCACUGCAACCUCCACCUCUCAGGUUCAAGUUAUUCUCCUGCCCUCAGCCUCCCAAGAAGCUAGGAUUACAGGUGCCCGCCACCACACCCAGCUAAUGUUUUUGUAUUUUUAGGGGAGAUGGGGUGUCAGCCAGGCUGGUCUCGAACUCCUGACCUCAAGUGAUCCACCUACCUCAGCCUCCAAAACUGCCAGGAUUACAGGCGUGAGCCACUGAGCCCAGCUCUUCCCUGUGAUUUUCUAUAUCGUCCCAAAACUUUACCAAAAUGUAUUAGAAUUAUGGGUGAGUUUGAUACUGUGGAUAUUUUUCUUCACAGCGUCCGUCCUGAGCUCCCUGUGUGGGUUGAUUUAGGGCAGAAAGAGGGCUGGAGCAUAUGUAGGCACAUGUCUGUCUGGGACAUGGGAGAUUUGAAAUGACAGCAUGCAUUAAACAGCAAGAAUAACCACCACCACGGACAGCUCAGAGGGAGGGUUACAUGUAUGAACUGUAAUUGGUUCAAUUGCUGGGAAACAGAAAGAAAUUUCUUAAAUUUUUCAGAAAUCCAAACUAAAGUAUCCCUAGAGUCACUGGAAGAAAUUUCAAUGGAUAGGAGAGCUCCAAAAGCUGUAAAGAAUCUACCCAGAUUCUCUUUCACCUUCCACUGGGGUUCACUAAAGCGAUCUGCUUGAGACCAGGCUGUCAUGGAGGGAUAGAUUCUUUUGUUCUUCCCCUUUUCACAGUUGUUGUUAUCACACUUUACCAAAAAAAGCUUAUCUCCCAUCCCUUUCAAGAAUUCAGAUGGUGCAUUGUUCAGGGUAUAAAAGUCUCCCAGGACAAAAGACACUAUUCAAAAUACAGUAACCAUCUCUAGCACAAUGAAAAUUGACGUAUAAGGUCAUUAGCCAUUGACGCUCCACCUCUGCAGCAGACUUACCCCUACUUUUCACUGAUGUCACAACAGGCCUGCAUUUUAGGACACUGAAAUUUUUAGAUUUCAUAAAAGGCUUGUAAUAAAUUAAGUUGCUGUUGCAAAAGGGGAUUAUUCCUAAUACUUGUGUGGCAUCAGGGCUGGCAAACGACAGCCUGCAGGCAACCCCUCCCACAAAACAAAGGAGAAAAAAAAAAACAAAAAACUGUUUUUUAAAAAAU